AGUGAACGCUGGCGGUAGGCCUAACACAUGCGAGUCGAACGGCAGCACAGUAAGAGCUUGCUCUUACGGGUGGCGAGUGGCGGACGGGUGAGGAAUACAUCGGAAUCUACUUUUUCGUGGGGGAUAACGUAGGGAAACUUACGCUAAUACCGCAUACGACCUACGGGUGAAAGCAGGGGAUCUUCGGACCUUGCGCGAUUGAAUGAGCCGAUGUCGGAUUAGCUAGUUGGCGGGGUAAAGGCCCACCAAGGCGACGAUCCGUAGCUGGUCUGAGAGGAUGAUCAGCCACACUGGAACUGAGAUACGGUCCAGACUCCUACGGGAGGCAGCAGUGGGGAAUAUUGGACAAUGGGCGCAAGCCUGAUCCAGCCAUACCGCGUGGGUGAAGAAGGCCUUCGGGUUGUAAAGCCCUUUUGUUGGGAAAGAAAAGCAGCAGGUUAAUACCCCGCUGUUCUGACGGUACCCAAAGAAUAAGCACCGGCUAACUUCGUG
rnacentral:rRNA from 1 species